AUUUUCCCGCUUCUUGUUUUUGGAAGUCCCGGUGCCCAAUGGAUCUUGUCCGGCGCAGCAAAACCUCCAAUCUGACAUAUGAAAUUUAAGCUAUAUUAAUUAUUCACGCUGAUUUGCAAAAGUUAUUGUACACAUCAUUAUCCCAUCUUGUGAGGUUACACGAUCAGUACAGUAUAACCUUUUUUUUAUAGCAGGUCAGUUAUCAUUUUGAUUGAGUUACCAACAACAACAACAACAACAACAAUGAAGGUAUAUUAUAGAAACUGUUAUUAUCUCAUGAGUCACAUGAUUUUGUAAAAAUAUUAUUUACAGUGUUGGUGCAUUUAGCUUAAAUCUCAUUAGUAUAUGAGGCUUAGGGUGCAGUCCCAUUACGAGCAACUCAAAAGAUUGAAUAUGCAUCAACAUAUUUAUCAAGACAAAAUCAUACCUUUUCUCUCACAACCUUUAUAAGGCUUUUUCUUAGUUCCUCACUGUAUGGAACACCUUCAGCCAAGGUAACAAAUGCGUAUAUACCUUGUCCUUUAACCUGACAUAACAUUUUCAAUAACAGGAUUAGACUUCUGAAAAAAAUCUGAUAAUCAAUCCUUAUGCAGCACACAGAAAAUGAGGGUACCUCAUGCUCCACACCAACUACAGCAGCUUCAACACACUGAGGAUGUGAAACUAGAGCGGAUUCUACUUCAGCUGUGCCAAUUCUGUGUCCACUGUUGCAAUGCAUUUGAAUGAGCAAUUAAUGGGCAAAGUGAAAAAAUUAAGUAAUUUUUUUAUUACCCCUUUUCUUCUCCUACAAAAAGAUUGUCUUUUCUUUGUGCUCCAUUCCAAACUUCCCUAGGUUGGAUCUAAUUCUCUAUAUUGUGUUACUACUCUUAGUUCUCCUACUUGGUAACAUUGAAACAAAUAAAUUAGAUAAGGAACUAAAAGGCGAGAAAUAAAAUAUUAAAAGUACACACAUAUAUAUAAAGUGAAGGACUAUAUAUACCUGACGUUAAUAACAUCAUCUACUCUGCCAGUGAGCCAGUAGUAACCAUCUUUGUCCCUAAAUCAAGAGUUUAUACAUGAAUAUGAUCACUGA
rnacentral:lncRNA from 1 species